UCAGGAAGUAAAGCUGAGCAUGUGCUUGUAACUUAGAAACAUCUCUAUUUUGAGCUUGAACAUUUUAGUCCCUUUUUUAUGUGCUGAAUGGUCAUCGCUACUUGGGGAAGAUGAGGACGAAGAGGAUGAGAUUGAAAUGGAGGAGCCAGAAGAAGUUGGAGCCACCACAUGAUGCUGCUGCCUCUCAGCCAAGCUUUUUGACUGGAAGGACACUGUGGUGGAUUGUCAACUCUCAGACCUUUGUGAGGAUGAGUGCACUAUAGACAUGUCAACUGUGCACCAGGCAAUCAAUAGCUGCCCCCACGGUGGCAAGGAUAGGCAG